CCACCACACCUGCGGUUUUUGGGGGGAGGGGGCAGCGUCCUGCUAAGUUAAGUUGCCCAGGUGGACUCAGACUUGCACGGACCUGCCCCAGCCUCCUAGAGCACUGUAUGCACUUCCGGGUAGGCAGACACUACCCACUCCAGCGAGGAGCUGCCUUGUGUCUGUGCUAGUGCUGUGAAAUAACUCUGGGACGAACCCUUUGCACAGGGAGCUUUCUGCUCACCUGACUUCCGAGAGUGGAGCCUAGCGCCCCCAAAUCCAGGGCUGUGGUGGAGUCCAUCAUUGCCCCAGAAAUGCUACCUGAUGUGACCUGUCUAGAGAAAGGAACUCGUGCAGUUUCUUUAUAAAGCUGAGGAAAGCUCUGGAACUUCCCCCCCAUCUCUUUCUGUGCACAAAGUUACGCUAAUCUCCUUGGUGUGCUGCCAGUGUGGAGCCUCUUUCCAUUCACAUGCGGGUCCUUUUUGGUUUUUGCUGGCGUCCCUCCCUGAGAGGUAUUUUGGGACUGUGUGCCCGUCAGCUUCUUGGGGGCAGACAGCUGUCAGUUCUGUUCACCUGUGUCCCCAGUGCCAGGCCAGACAGUGUGCAGCCGUGACACAGCAGUGGAAAGACAAGGGACACAGAAAAGACCCACAUUUAUUCAGAUCAGCGAACACUGCCAGGAGCCUGGUGGGCAUGUUCCCAGAGAGGAAUCACACCACGGGGAAUGAAAACUGCAGUGUGCCAGAGCUUCCUGCUGUUGGGGAUGUGCUAUGGGAAGCGACCCAGUUACCCUGUGGCAGCUCAGCCCAGCGUGGGGCCGCUCAGUGGCUGGACCUGUGUCGCCCUAGCUGUGAGAGGGGCCAGGCAGGUUCUCCAGGGACCUGGCAGCCUCUGUGCGUCUCCAGCCCCCUCAGGCUGUGGCCUGGGUGUGUGCAGAGGCAACGUGCCUACUUCUGGAGCCUCCACGUGACUGUCAUGCCUGUUCCCUCCUGGGAGGGGACACUGUAACACAGGCUGCUCAGGCUGGGCAGGCAAACCACUGGCUCUGUUUAGCUUUCCCUCAGCCUGGGCCUUCAUCAUCUCUACCCAGGCACUGACCUCUCCCUUCUGUAUUUUCCUUUUGUGGUGCUGGGGAGUGAUUCCAGGGCCUUCACAGUGAGCUGCAUCCCCAGCCCUUUUUAAAAUUUUUUGAGCACUUAGGAGGCUGAGGCAGGAGGCUUCCUGUGAGUUCAAGGCCAGCCUGGACUACAUAAUGAGACUCUCAAAAAAUCAAAAAUAAAUAAAAAUAAAAAUUUUAAAUUUUGAGACAGGGUCUUAUUAAAUUGCCUAAGGUGGGUUCAGACUUCCAGUCUCUUGCCUCAGACUCCUAGAGUUCUAGAAUUACAGGCAUGUGCCACCAUUUUUUUUUUGGCACUGGGGAUCAAACUCAGGACUUGUGCUUUUGAGGAAGGCAGGGUGCCACUGAGCUAAAUCCCGGCCCAGCAUCAUCUUUAGCUAAAGGUUUAUACUUCCACAGCAUCCUCACCUAUAUAGCCAGUGCCUCCGCGAGGCUAGAGACAGACCAUAUAAGCAGGGGAAUGAGGCAGGGCAGGAUUGGACAAGCCCCUGAAAUUAGGAGCACAAAACCUGUGAGGGUUUUGAAUCCUCCAAAGGUUGAAAACCAUCCUGCAGACAAU
ensembl:lncRNA